rnacentral:rRNA from 1 species
GAUGAACGCUGGCGGCGUGCCUAAUACAUGCAAGUCGAGCGAAGCGGGGGCGGGUGAGUAACACGUGUCUAACCUCCUUUACGACUGGGGUAACUUCGGGGACCCGGAUCUCACCCGGAUACUUAUUGAUGUUUCUGCGCUGCAUUAGCGAGUUGGUACGGUAACGGCUUACCAAGGAAACGAUGCAUCGCCGACCUGAGAGGGUGACCAGCCACACGGGAACUGAGACACGGUCCAGACUCCGACGGGAGGCAGCAGUAGGGAAUAUUCCACAAUGGGCGAAAGCCUGACGGAGCAAAGCCGCGUGUGUGAAGAAGGUCGUCGGAUCGUAAAGCUCUGUUAGUAGGGAAGCGGUACCUAAACAGAAAGCCACGGCUAACUUCGUGCCAGCAGCCGCGGUAAUAC